rnacentral:rRNA from 1 species
UGAUAAAAAAAAUAGUAAUACAACUUUCAACAACGGAUCUCUUGGCUCUCGCAUCGAUGAAGAACGCAGCGAAAUGCGAUAAGUAAUGUGAAUUGCAGAAUUCAGUGAAUCAUCGAAUCUUUGAACGCAUCUUGCGCUCCUUGGUAUUCCGAGGAGCAUGCCUGUUUGAGUGUCAUUAAAUUCUGUCAAAACAUGCACUUGAGUGUGUUUUGGAUUGUGGGAGUGUCUGCUGGCUUUAUGAGCCAGCUCUCCUGAAAUACAUUAGCUUUGGGGGGGAGGUGCCAAGUCACUUCUGCCUUUCCAUUGGUGUGAUAGAUGAAUUAACUUAUCUACGCCAGGAAAGCAGGCUUCAGGUGAUGCACUGUGAUCUCUCUCUGCUCUCUAAUUGACAUUUGUCUGAUAACUUGACCUCAA